AGAGUUUGAUCAUGGCUCAGAACGAACGCUGGCGGCGUGGAUAAGACAUGCAAGUCGAGCGCUGAUUACGGGGUAGCAAUAUUCCGUGGUUGGAGCGGCGCAAGGGUGCGUAACACGUGGGUAAUCUGCCAUGAAGUUUGGAGUAACUCGCUGAAAGGCGAGCUAAUGCCGGAUGUGAAAAUCGGGAGGCAUCUCCUAGUUUUCAAAGCUGGGGACCGUAAGGCCUGGCGCUUCAUGAUGAGCCCGCGGCCUAUCAGCUAGUUGGUAAGGUAACGGCUUACCAAGGCUAAGACGGGUAGCUGGUCUGAGAGGACGACCAGCCACACUGGAACUGAGACACGGUCCAGACACCUACGGGUGGCAGCAGUCGAGAAUUUUUCACAAUGGGCGCAAGCCUGAUGGAGCGACGCCGCGUGGGGGAUGAAUGGCUUCGGCCCGUAAACCCCUGUCAUUUGCGAUCAACCGUUAUUGUUUAAGAGAUGAUAACCUGAUAGUAGCGAAAGAGGAAGGGACGGCUAACUCUGUGCCAGCAGCCGCGGUAAUACAGAGGUCCCAAGCGUUGUUCGGAUUCACUGGGCGUAAAGGGUGCGUAGGUGGCGGGGUAAGUCGGAUGUGAAAUCUCUGAGCUCAACUCGGAAAUGGCAUUGGAAACUGCUCUGCUCGAGGGUUGGAGGGGGGACUGGAAUACUUGGUGUAGCAGUGAAAUGCGUAGAUAUCAAGUGGAACACCAGUGGCGAAGGCGAGUCCCUGGACAACUCCUGACACUGAGGCACGAAAGCUAGGGGAGCAAACAGGAUUAGAUACCCUGGUAGUCCUAGCCGUAAACGGUG
rnacentral:rRNA from 1 species